AGGUGCUGUUCCGGCCCGGCGUUGGGGCACUACGGGAAGCCUCGUGCUAUCCCCCGUAGGCCCCGAAAUGAAGUGGCGGUCCUGCCGCGGCUCCCCCUGCGUAGUAUUACAGCUCGCUUCGGGACCCGGUGGAGGCCUGCCGUCAAACCUUACUCUCUAAGUUUGACCUCGGAUCAGGUAGGGUUACCCGCUGAACUUAA
rnacentral:misc_RNA from 1 species